rnacentral:rRNA from 1 species
CCUACGGUAGGCAGCAGUGAGGAAUAGUGGUCAAUGGGCGCGAGCCUGAACCAGCCAAGUCGCGUGAGGGAAGACGGUCCUAUGGAUUGUAAACCUCUUUUGUCGGGGAGCAAAAGACGCCACGCGUGGCGUUCCGAGAGUACCCGAAGAAAAAGCAUCGGCUAACUCCGUGCCAGCAGCCGCGGUAAUACGGAGGAUGCGAGCGUUAUCCGGCUUUAUUGGGUUUAACGGGUGCGCAGGCGGAAGAUCAAGUCAGCGGUAAAAUUGAGAGGCUCAACCUCUUCGAGCCGUUGAAACUGGUUUUCUUGAGUGAGCGAGAAGUAUGCGGAAUGUGUGGUGUAGCGGUGAAAUGCAUAGAUAUCACGCAGAACUCCGAUUGCGAAGGCAGCAUACCGGCGCUCAACUGACGCUCAUGCACGAAAGUGUGGGUAUCGAACAGGAUGAGAUACCCCUGUAGUC